GAUCAGCAUAAAUAAUUUGAAAUUCAGUUUUAAUAAAACAUCAAACGGGACACAUUCUAAAACUGAUUCUAAGCACUCAACCAGAUUAAAAGCCAGAGUGAAAAGCUCAAUGUGUUCGAUUUUUAGAUUAGGAUUGAGAUCUUCCGACAUACUUGCCAAAUUCUCAUCUGAAACUGAAAAAAGAAGAUCACCAGAGAAAUCUUGUUUUAACCUAGGUAACCUACAUAAAAUAAAAAUUACAUUGUUCUGUUUUAAUUAUUUUGUGUUUUAAGAUGGCGUUUUGUUGUAAAAUUUUCUGCAUCAAACUUUAAAAGCAUCAUGCAAUAAGUCGAAUUUUGAGAUAAAAAUAGCAGUUCUUGUACAUUUUGUUUAAAUAUUGCCUUUCGCAAUAUUAAUCUUACAUGAUUUUGAAUUCAACUACCACGAUAUUUACAACUUCUGCAUAUUUUUUAAAGAUUUAAUUAUUUUCAAGCACGUAAAAGUAAUCUGAGA